GCUGGGCGUGGUGGCACAUGCCUGUAAUCCCAACAGUUUGGGAGGCUGAGGCAGGAGGAUCAUGAGUUCAAAGCCAGUCUCAGCAAUUUAGCAAGACCCCGUCUCAA
rnacentral:sRNA from 1 species